rnacentral:lncRNA from 1 species
UUUAACUUUCGAAUGCCUACUAAGAUCAGAAUUUAAAAUGCUACGAAGAUAAAAGUGUGAAUAUGUGUGCUUUCAGUUACAGUAGUAUUUCUGACUUUCCUCCUACCUCCUUUGGUACUCCAUCUUAGUUUAAAGGAACCAAAGAGAUCUUGGGGUCAGAUCCUAGAAUACUUAAUAAAGAAUGUACGCAGUUUUCCCUGUAAGUACAGAAAUAGAAAAAGAAGAGAAGCAAAUGCAUCUAAACUGUCUGCCUUCCCUUAGUCAUAGCAAAAUCCCACAGAGGAGAUAAUCUGCAUGCUCUUCCUAUUCUCUAAGGAAGGUGGGGCCACAUUGAGAUACAGGGCAACAUUUAUCCAUCACCCACUUGCAAACUAUUUGUUUGUUGAUGCUCAGUAAAAGAAAAUCCAAAACUGGUUCAGGAUAUAACUUAAGACUAGUGUCUCUAUUCUCCCAAAAAUCACCAAGUCUUCUUAACUUAGAUUUAACUUAAGUCACCAUUGAGUAAGUUUACCAAAGUGCCAUGGGCAGAUUUUAAAUGUCUAUAAAGGUUUGAGUAUUUAUAGAAGGUAUGUCAUGAAAUUUUCUGUAAGUCCAGCUUCACUCUCUAUGGUAGAACUGGAAUGUAAAGUGUCGAUUUGGUGGAGAUUGAAAAUACUGCUUUCAUUUUAAAAACAGAAACAAAAACUGUGGAACUCCUAGAGUUGUUUAUGAUCUGAGAGAGAGGAAGGGAGAGAGAGAGAGAGGGAGAGAUUAAAAUCUUUCUCCUUCCCUCUAAAACAAACUAUCGCAAAAGGGCAAAAGUCUCUUUGAGUCUUUGUUAUCAGUGCUCCGUUAUCUGUUAGGAUGUUUCAUGUAGAUAAUCCAGAGAGAAUUGUUGAAAUAGGUAGUAAUUUAUUAAAUCUGGUAUCUCCACGAGGUAUAUUUAAAACAACUUCAAGUCAGCAUCUUUUUUUCCUUUUCAGUGGAAAACCUACUUAAUCAGUUAAUUAAAAGGAAAAAUCAGGGAAAUGCUCAUCAAAAGUGUUGAGUCUGUUCUACUCCAGUCACAAUGGCUAUCUGUCAUCAAGAAAGGCAAAAAAACUUACUGGUGAGAAGAGAGGAUAGAAGGAAUCUGUAUGUACUGCUAGCGAUAGAAACUGUCUGUAGCAGUGGAUACCUGUAUGGGAGUUCUUUUUUUUUUUUAAAAAUUACAAUUAUGAUGGAGCUAUAUCAUCCUUUGGUAUAUGCUGAAAGUAAACGAACUCAGCAUAUGACAGGGAUUUGUAUGUGUGCUUCCAUGUCUAUUACAGUACUGCUCCCAAUAGCCAAUAAAUGAAUACCCAUCAGCAGGUGGAUAGAUAAAUAAAAUGUAACAUAGAUACAUAGCAGAGCUGUAUUCAGCCAUAAUGAAGACUGGAAUUUUGUCACUAGC